CCUACGGGAGGCUGCAGUGGGGAAUAUUGCACAAUGGGCGAAAGCCUGAUGCAGCAACGCCGCGUGAAGGAAGAAGGGUUUCGGCUCGUAAACUUCUAUUAACAGGGACGAAUGAAAUAACGUAACUUGAGUAAGAAGCCCGGGCUAACAACGGGCCAGCACCCGCGGUAAUCCGUAGGGGGCAAGCGUUACCCGGAAUUAUUGGGUGUAAAGGGUGAGUAGGCGGCAUGAUAAGCCAGAUGUGAAAGCCUCGGGCUUAACACGAGAAUUGCAGUUGAAACUAUCAAGCUAGAGUACUGGAGAGGAAGACGGAAUUCCUAGUGUAGCGGUGAAAUGCGUAGAUAUUAGGAGGAACACCAGUGGCGAAGGCGGCUUUCUGGACUGAAACUGACGGUGAGGCGCGAAAGCGUGGGGAGCGAACAGGAUUAGAUACCCGUGUAGUC
rnacentral:rRNA from 1 species